GCCAGUUUCAUUCAUUUAGUGGGAGCGUAGUGUUGGAGCAUCCGCUCCGCAUACGUUAUGCCUGCGAUGGAGCUGGCCUGUGAUAUGAUAUACCGUU